rnacentral:lncRNA from 1 species
AGAAAUGCAUUUACAUGACUAUUGCAUAAUCUGCCUACUGCCAUAGUCAGUUCGAUAUCUAAUUAUUAGUGGGCAUGUAGACCUCCUCAGCGGUGGCCACCUGUGCUAAUUAGCGAUCUAACGUUCUCCGAACACCUGUGUGUAAGUGUAACUGGGGAGGAAGUGUAGUGCAUCAACUGAAGGCAUGCAGCUUGUGGAUCUGUGCAAAACAGCUACAGACAAGUCUUCCCUCACUCCCCAUCCACCCCCAUGAAACAACACCUCUGAUAAGGGCGUCUAUGUAAGCAUGUGUUGUUAGCCUUACUAUUCACUUGUAUAUUAUUUCCAUCUUAUAUGCUUGAAACAAAGUAAAAAAUUGAAUCGAAU